rnacentral:rRNA from 1 species
GACGAACGCUGGCGGCGUGCUUAACACAUGCAAGUCGAACGGUGAAGGGACCAGCUUGCUGGUUCUGGAUGAGUGGCGAACGGGUGAGUAACACGUGAGUAACCUGCCCCCUUCUUCUGGAUAACCGCAUGAAAGUGUGGCUAAUACGGGAUAUUCUGGGUCUGUCGCAUGGCGGGCCCGGGAAAGAUAUUGCUUCGGUGGGGGAUGGGCUCGCGGCCUAUCAGCUUGUUGGUGGGGUGAUGGCCUACCAAGGCGGUGACGGGUAGCCGGCCUGAGGGGGUGGACGAUCGCAAUGGGGCUGCGGCCCAGCCCAGAACCGUACGGAGGGCAGCGGUGGGGAAUAUUGCGCACUGAGCGCUAGCCUGAUGCAGCGGCGCCGCGUGAGAGAGGCAGGCCUUCGGGUUGUAAACCUCUUUCGCCAGUGAAGCAGGCCUGCUCCUUGUGGGUGGGUUGACGGUAGCUGGAUAAGAAGCGCCGGCUAACUACGUG